GGGCGUGUAGCUUAGCCUGGUUUUCUCUGUACCAGAGAGAGCAAUUGUCUUAUAAGCAAUAGGUCCCCGGUUCAAAUCCGGGCAUGCCCA
rnacentral:tRNA from 1 species